ensembl:snRNA U6 U6 spliceosomal RNA
GUGCUCGCUUCAGCAGCACAUAUACUAAAAUUGGAACGAUACAGAGAAGAUGAGCAUGGCCCCUGCACAAGGAUGACAUGCAAAUUCGUGAAGCAUUCCAUAUUUUU